UUGGCAAGUUUUGAAGCAAAAUAAUCCCCUAUCAGCAUAUGAAAUAAAGCCCAACAGAAAGUCAAAUGUGGAGGAGAGUGAUUUUUUUUUCCUCUUCUUCUGGCAUUAAGAGAUAGAUUUGAGGAAAUCUUGAACUCUUUGGAGAAAAACAAGCUCACAGCCAAAAAAAGUCAAGGGAUGGACUUUUCUCUCUCUCACACACACCACAGAAAAGACCGAGUUUUGAAAAUAUCCUUUCAAGGUUCAGUAGAGAAAUUUCCUUGGCUACUUUUGAGUAUAAUAUUUGUUAUUUCUUCUUCUGAGCACUGAUCAUAACUCUGGGUUUGGUUGAGGCAAUCUUAUGAGACGUGAGGGGAAAUGACUUGAAAAUACAAUGGGGCCCACAGGUACCAAAAUGGAGGGGAGACAUCAAAGAAAAAAAAUCUAUUGUUAGCAGCAAGAUGGGCAUGAUUGAUCCUGGAUUAGUCAACAAUGUAGUAAUUUUGUCUGAGGCCUCUCAAAAUCAAUGGCAGAGGGGCCAAAAUGAAAGCCUAGGAAAAGAGAAGGAAAUGGAUUUUUCAUUUUUUCUUCAGCAUGUUUGAUGAAAAUAUCAAUAAUAUAGAUAAGUUAAAAGGAAUUAUAUAGCGAGUACACUGUAGAUGAGAGAGAAACUCUUUUUUUUUAUUUUGAGUCUGACAGUUUGCAUAGGAACUGAUUUUUACCUUCCUCUAAGAAAUGCCCUUGAAUGAAUGAAAUGGUGGUCUCAGAACACUCUUCCCACACAGUUAUUCUAAAGAAACAUUUCUACACUAAGUAAUAUUUCCAAAAGCAGGGAUCCCUAUGGGUAGUCGUCCAUUACCUGUUGUUUUGUAUGCAUCUUACUGAUGUUGUCUUAUUUUCUCCUAUGCUGUCUCAUUUUUAACGUGCAUUAGGAGCUGUACUGAAAAAUGAUGUGUAGGUGGGGAUAAUUUGAUGUCAUUUCUUUAGAAGGAAUUUUAUUUAACAGGAAUUUUUGUUUCUUUAUAUUGGGCACAGUGAGGUUCUAGCAACACAACAAAUAUUUAUAGAAUACUAUUGAAUCAGUUGUAAUACAGUUAUGAAUAAAUAAUGGCUAACAUUUCUUUGAAUGAGCAAUGGGGUACAUUUACAUAAAGCUAUUAAAGAAUAAUUUAGUUUAUAUAAAUUUGAUCAAUGCCCAGCUUUUCCUCAACGUAUCCAUCAGUACCUAUUAAGGAGUGGCACUCUGAUCCAAGUAGAGAUGCCCUGAGGUAGCAGUAGAUUGCAAUCUUGUUUCUUAGAUAAUUUAGAGAAAAAAUAUAUGAACUGAUUUUUACAUUCAUCAUAUAAAAAUAUAAUCCAAAUCAAUCAGAAUCAUUUGUUUCCUUUGACUAACACCCAGGCAAGUGAACACUUUCAAACAUAAGACUUAGACAGUUCAUAACUCAUGACAGAUAUAAAACCAUAACUCACUUAAUAUGACAUUCACAGAUACUAUAAAUAUACAGGUAUCAUAACUAGAAGUAGGUGGAGAAGUCAAAGAGCACCAUCUCUCCAUUCCAAAGCUCAAGGCUAUUCAGUUUCAGCAUUUGUAUGCUGUAGGUUGGAGCUGCUACCAAAAAUGAGAGAGGGAGUAUAAUCCAAGGAGACCUUGAUUUGAUUAUAGUGGCCUAAACCAAUGGUCUGCAUUGUCUGGAUUCAGUCAAGGCCUCCCUCAGUCACUGCUGGCUUUUAUCUCCUACUUGUUUGUUAUGUAGGUAGAUUCUGCAAACAGACU
rnacentral:lncRNA from 1 species